AUCCUAGUGGGGUAGUGGUUAACCCACCAGGUUUUCAUACAGAGAUGUUUCCCUGGGUACCCGAGUUCGAAUCUCGGCUAGGAUA